AACGAACGCUGGCGGCAUGCCUAACACAUGCAAGUCGAACGAGACCUUCGGGUCUAGUGGCGCACGGGUGCGUAACGCGUGGGAACCUGCCCUUAGGUUCGGAAUAACUCCCCGAAAGGGGUGCUAAUACCGGAUAAUGUCUUCGGACCAAAGAUUUAUCGCCUUUGGAUGGGCCCGCGUUGGAUUAGCUAGUUGGUAGGGUAAAAGCCUACCAAGGCGACGAUCCAUAGCUGGUCUGAGAGGAUGAUCAGCCACACUGGGACUGAGACACGGCCCAGACUCCUACGGGAAGCAGCAGUGGGGAAUAUUGGACAAUGGGCGAAAGCCUGAUCCAGCAAUGCCGCGUGAGUGAUGAAGGCCUUAGGGUUGUAAAGCUCUUUUACCCGGGAUGAUAAUGACAGUACCGGGAGAAUAAGCUCCGGCUAACUUCGUG
rnacentral:rRNA from 1 species